AACGAACGCUGGCGGCAGGCUUAACACAUGCAAGUCGAACGAGAAGCCGAACUUCGGUUUGGUGGAAAGUGGCAGACGGGUGAGUAACGCGUGGGAAUCUACCUAGUGGUACGGAAUAACUCAGGGAAACUUGGGCUAAUACCGUAUGAGCCCGUAAGGGGAAAGAUUUAUCGCCAUUAGAUGAGCCCGCGUCUGAUUAGCUAGUUGGUGGGGUAAAAGCCUACCAAGGCGACGAUCAGUAGCUGGUCUGAGAGGAUGAUCAGCCACACUGGGACUGAGACACGGCCCAG
rnacentral:rRNA from 1 species